GUUUCUGUCAGUUAGUCAGUUGGCAUUUUUUGUUUAAAUAUUUGCUUAAAAUGGAAGAAAUUCCACAAAAUAUAAGAGAAAAGGCCAUAAAAGCGACCGAAAAUCUUUUGCCAGUUAAAUCAAGGCAACAGUAUGAUCGGGAGUAUGGCAUAUUUGGUAUUUGGAAAGAUGCCAACGCAAUUGUUCAAAUAACCGAAACCGUUCUAAUGGCAUAUUUUCAGGAACUGUUGGAAAAAAAAAGAGUUAAAGAGCUAAAGUUCUGGAAGGAGAACAAAUAAUAAAAUUUAUUAAGAAGGCUCCUGAUGAUAUCUACUUGGUACACAAAGUCAUAUUGGUAAUGGGUGUUUUUGGAGGUUUAAGACAAGAAGAGUUGGUCAAAAUGACCAUUGAUGAUAUUGAAGAUAGAGGAACUGUCUUGAUUAUAAGGGUACCAGAAACUAAAACUUCAACUUCAAAAAGUUUUACUGUCAUUGAAGAAGAUUUAGGCGCUUUAAAUUUAAUAAAAAAGUACGCAGCAUUAAGACCAGCUGGAAUAAAGGAGCGAAGAUUCUUUCUUACCUAUAGAAAGAGUUUUUGUUGUACAGUACAACCUAUUGGAAAAAAUACCAUAGGAAGCGUCCCAACAUUGAUCGCAAAAUUUUGAAAACUGGAUAAUGCAGAAGCUUAUACCGGCCACUGUUUGCAUCGCACAUCAUCAACUUUACUUGUUGAGGCAGGUGCUUCGUUUGAAAUGCUAAAACAACAUGAGAAAUGGAAAAGCUCUUCAGUAGCUGAUGAAGGAUAUAUAGAAGAAAGUAUUUAAUCCAAAAAUAAAGUAGCCAAAAUGAUUGCCAAUUCAGUUAAUUCCGAGGUUAAUUCCGUAUCGACUAUUGAAAAUUCUUUAAUGGACAAUUUACAAACUAUACAAAAUAGCGUUAGUGCUGCCACCUCUACCAUCACAAAAAACACCGACCAUUCUAUAGUAGGAUCAGCUACAUUUUCCGGGACAUUUCAAAAUUGUAAUUUUUAUUUUGGAAAUAAAGUUUAAUUUUUAGUA